CUGAACAGGCGGGUCUCGAUCCCACAAAAAUUAGUUAACAGCUAAUUACCCAAUCCAGCGGGCUUCUAUUCG
rnacentral:tRNA from 1 species